rnacentral:lncRNA from 1 species
AUGGCUCCAGCAGGGACUGAUCCUUCCACGGCUGCUCUCCACCAGGCCGGUCCGCCCUGCUGCCCGCCUCCGUGCCGCCGCCGCCGUCGCAGAGGACACGCAAACAGGCGCCGUGCGGUCCCUGGACACCCGGAGCCCGGGGUCUUACCGGAACACAGACCGAGCCCUGCAAGCCUCAGCCGCAAAGCCCGGCCACCCCGAACGAGCCUGUGCCUCCCCUGCAGGCCAGAGGGAGGAGCAGUCACAGCCAGAGCCCGCAGCGGGGCGUCCGGAGGCGGAGCAUGGGCCAAGCCCCGCCUCUCCCACCGAGACCCCGCCCCUGCCGCGCGCUCGCCCGCGCAUCCCCGCCCCCUCGCCGACACCACGUUCCUGCAGGGGCGCGCGCGCGCUCCUAAUCCCCUGCCUUCCGGCUCAGCCGAGCGGCUCCGUAGCGCGCUCGCUGCCGGCGGCGGGGUCGCCUUCGCUGGGGACCUCCAUUGCUGGCUCUGCGUUCUGGCUGGUCAGGCGGAGCGAUGCCCGCACCCUGCUGCCCCGCGUCCCGCGCGCCCGGUGACCACCCGCCCACUGCAGGGCUGCGGCCGUGACCCCCCCCCCCCCACCGCCGACUUUCACCCAGCGUCCAGCUCGCAGCUCGCUGGCCGGGGCGGGGAGAGGCCCUGGUAGUGUCAAGAGGUUUCAGAGGCUUGAGCAGCUACUUCUGUGGUCAUGGAGAUCAUCGCCCACCAGGAUUACUGUAUGGUAUUCACCCAGCCUGCCACCCCCUAGUCUCAGCGUUGGGUCCUGAUUUCCACCAAUGAAGUUUUUUUUAUCCUUUCUUGAAUCAUGUGACAUCACUUCUUGUCCUGUCCGCCGUUUCCCUUUCAGUUGCCAAAUCCAUUAGGUUUAAGUUCCCUGUUGACUUAAAGUACUGAAUUGUUUGCCUGUCCACUUGCACUCCGGACAGCUCACCUCCGGUCGCCGUUGCUAUGAUUUUCAUAGAUACUGACGUGAGUUCUUGCCUUGAAGAGGGCAUUCACACACUUGGCUGCCUGACAAAGACAACAGUCAGGCAUUGAUUCUCCUUGCUCCGUUAUUCUGUAUGUUAAGUUUACAAGUCCGACUAAAACUAUUUUCUUGCACUUUGGUGUAAGAAAAGAAAAAUCCUGCAUUAAUGGAAAAAGUUGAUCACUGUGAUACUAUUUUAGAUUUCUUGUUAGGGCAGUAUAGUUCCAAUAUCUAGCUUCCAGUAGGCUUCAAUUUAUGAAAAGAGCAGGGAGGAAGGAGAGAAAAUAGGGAUAUUUGGAGCGAUCCUUUGUCAUAGGUACUUGAUUAAGUUCCAAAAUGUAAGUGAAGAGAUUGAGACUUCCUUUAAAAAUUCUUGUACCAUCUGCGUCCUAAGGAAUAGCUGAGGGCUCUUAAGCCUCAGUUUUGUAGUCUCUUUGUAUUCAAAUCUAAGUUGUUAGUU